UUGAACGCUGGCGGCAGGCCUAACACAUGCAAGUCGAGCGGUAGCACAGAGAGCUUGCUCUCGGGUGACGAGCGGCGGACGGGUGAGUAAUGUCUGGGAAACUGCCUGAUGGAGGGGGAUAACUACUGGAAACGGUAGCUAAUACCGCAUAAUGUCGCAAGACCAAAGUGGGGGACCUUCGGGCCUCAUGCCAUCAGAUGUGCCCAGAUGGGAUUAGCUAGUAGGUGGGGUAACGGCUCACCUAGGCGACGAUCCCUAGCUGGUCUGAGAGGAUGACCAGCCACACUGGAACUGAGACACGGUCCAGACUCCUACGGGAGGCAGCAGUGGGGAAUAUUGCACAAUGGGCGCAAGCCUGAUGCAGCCAUGCCGCGUGUGUGAAGAAGGCCUUCGGGUUGUAAAGCACUUUCAGCGGGGAGGAAGGCGGUGAGGUUAAUAACCUCAUCGAUUGACGUUACCCGCAGAAGAAGCACCGGCUAACUCCGUGCCAGCAGCCGCGGUAAUACGGAGGGUGCAAGCGUUAAUCGGAAUUACUGGGCGUAAAGCGCACGCAGGCGGUCUGUCAAGUCGGAUGUGAAAUCCCCGGGCUCAACCUGGGAACUGCAUUCGAAACUGGCAGGCUAGAGUCUUGUAGAGGGGGGUAGAAUUCCAGGUGUAGCGGUGAAAUGCGUAGAGAUCUGGAGGAAUACCGGUGGCGAAGGCGGCCCCCUGGACAAAGACUGACGCUCAGGUGCGAAAGCGUGGGGAGCAAACAGGAUUAGAUACCCUGGUAGUCCACGCCGUAAACGAUGUCGAUUUGGAGGUUGUGCCCUUGAGGCGUGGCUUCCGGAGCUAACGCGUUAAAUCGACCGCCUGGGGAGUACGGCCGCAAGGUUAAAACUCAAAUGAAUUGACGGGGGCCCGCACAAGCGGUGGAGCAUGUGGUUUAAUUCGAUGCAACGCGAAGAACCUUACCUGGUCUUGACAUCCACAGAACUUUCCAGAGAUGGAUUGGUGCCUUCGGGAACUGUGAGACAGGUGCUGCAUGGCUGUCGUCAGCUCGUGUUGUGAAAUGUUGGGUUAAGUCCCGCAACGAGCGCAACCCUUAUCCUUUGUUGCCAGCGGUUAGGCCGGGAACUCAAAGGAGACUGCCAGUGAUAAACUGGAGGAAGGUGGGGAUGACGUCAAAUCAUCAUGCCCCUUAUGACCUGGGCUACACACGUGCUACAAUGGCAUAUACAAAGAGAAGCGACCUCGCGAGAGCAAGCGGACCUCAUAAAGUAUGUCGUAGUCCGGAUUGGAGUCUGCAACUCGACUCCAUGAAGUCGGAAUCGCUAGUAAUCGUAGAUCAGAAUGCUACGGUGAAUACGUUCCCGGGCCUUGUACACACCGCCCGUCACACCAUGGGAGUGGGUUGCAAAAGAAGUAGGUAGCUUAACCUUCGGGAGGGCGCUUACCACUUUGUGAUUCAUGACUGGGGUG
rnacentral:rRNA from 1 species